AAGGGUAGCUAUGUUGGAAUGGAUGCACCCAAUUUUGUCUAAUCUUGGAAGCUAAGUAGGCCUGGACCUGAACAAUACCUUGGAUGGAUGAUCCCCUUAGAAACCCAGGUGCUGUAGAUA
rnacentral:rRNA from 1 species